GCCGGGCACGAUGGCGGUUGCCUGUAAUCCCAGCUACUGGGAGGCUAAGGCAGGAGAAUUGCUUGAACUCGGGAGGUGGAAGUUGCAGUGAGCCACGAUCACGCCACUGCACUCCACCCUGGGUAACAAAGCAAGAUUUUGUCUUAA
rnacentral:SRP_RNA from 2 species